UACGUAGGGUGCGAGCGUUGUCCGGAAUUACUGGGCGUAAAGAGCUCGUAGGUGGUUUGUCGCGUUGUUCGUGAAAACUCACAGCUUAACUGUGGGCGUGCGGGCGAUACGGGCAGACUGGAGUACUGCAGGGGAGACUGGAAUUCCUGGUGUAGCGGUGGAAUGCGCAGAUAUCAGGAGGAACACCGGUGGCGAAGGCGGGUCUCUGGGCCGAUAUUGACGCUGAGGAGCGAAAGCGUGGGGAGCAAACAGG
rnacentral:rRNA from 1 species